rnacentral:rRNA from 1 species
CCUACGGGUGGCAGCAGUGAGGAAUAUUGGUCAAUGGGCGAGAGCCUGAACCAGCCAAGUCGCGUGAAGGAUGACGGCCCUACGGGUUGUAAACUUCUUUUGUCAGGGAGCAAGUGGGUCCACGCGUGGGCUUAGCGAGAGCACCUGAAGAAAAAGCAGCGGCUAACUCCGUGCCAGCAGCCGCGGGAAUACGGAGGAUGCGAGCGUGAUCAGGAUUUAUUGGGUUGAAAGGGGUCGUAGGCGGAAUAUCAAGUCAGCGGUAAAAAUUCGGGGCUCAACCCCGUCGUGCCGUUGAAACUGGUGUUCUUGAUUGGGCGAGAAGUAUGCGGAAUGCGUGGUGUAGCGGUGAAAUGCAUAGCUAUCACGCAGAACUCCGAUUGCGAAGGCAGCAUACCGGCGCCCAACUGACGCUGAAGCACGAAAGCGUGGGUAUCGAAUAGGAUUAGAUACCCGAGUAGUC